UUUUUUAAAUACAAUAACUCAUAAAUAUCACAAACAGCUUAAUGUUUAAAACGACAACAUUUAUAGAUGAUGUCCCAAAUUUAAGAAAUUCAAAAUUUAAAGCGAGAAACUGAAAGUGUUUUACAUGCAUAUAUUCAGGGAACAGGUGAACCAGGGUUUCCAUCUGUGUGUCACAACAUGAGCAGUUAUUUCUGUUCAUGCUGAAUCUUCGUCUCAGGAACUCUGUACAAGGGUCGACAUCAUUCACACAUUUGACAUGAGUCUUUGACUUCUGGUAAAAUUGGAGGAAAGGUACGUUGUUCUCAGCUUUACAGUAAUAUCAGGGAAAUCUUUCAUUAAAUCUUUCCCUUUAUAUGGCAAAGAGUUCU